GCCUGCGGCCCGCGGGAGCCCCCCGCCGGCGUGGCUGGGCGCGGAGCGCCGCUGCCCCGCUUUCCAUCCGGGGCAGGAGGAAGCUGUCCAGAAAAGCUGCUGUAGUACAUCUAACGUGAUCACUGUGUGAACAUGCCCUUUCCAUUCUCUCCAACUAGCCUAGAUGGGAAGACAACAGCAGGUGACACCAGGUACCAAACACUGGCACUAGCAGCUGAGUAAGUGGGUUGCCGCUGGCAGGGGCAGCUCACCAUAAGACUGGUACCAAUGCUUUGAGAUUCGGAGGGGUCACAAGCAUUGCGCAGCUGCUUGAUGGGUGUUACUGUAAAAUGAGAAAUCUGAUUGUAUGCUGAAUUCAGGUAUAACAAUACAGUGUAAGGAAACUGCUCUGUCUAGGGAAGAGUGAUAGCUGAACUGCUUUUUUUUUUGUAUGGUCUUGCACAAAUUUUAAACAUGGAAAUUAGGGAGCAGCAUAGAUAGUUGGGCUUUUUUUCCCCACCUAUUUAACAAUUCUUACAAUCUUGCGAUAUUGCCACCUAUGGAUGAAACCUUGGAAUGCUGCUUCAGCAACAAAAAAAUCACUACCAAGUCUUUACAGUGUCUCCUUCACUGAAAUGUUGUUACUCAUUCCAGAAAGUCAAAACACUGUUAAAAUCAUUUCAGUGCCUUUUUGAAGUGUCAGUGUUUGAUGGAGAGUGUGUUCACCACAAUGCAAUAGAAUUAGUAAUCGCAUUCUGCAAUUUCUGUAAGUUUUCCAAAAUAGAAUUUUAUAGACUUGGUUCUGGGUUUGCAGGUCUUUCAGAUUUUUUUGUUCCCCAGUCUUACUGCUCUUGGACUGCACUAAUUCAGUGCUUCCCUCAUAGCAUCUUAAGAGAUAUGUAAAAUACUGAAAGCCUUCCUACUAGGAGUAACAGCCAGAUCUCAUCCCAGCGCCUACCACAGUUGAAAAAUAUUUUCCCCUGAAGGAUCUAUCUUCUGGCAACUCUUACAUACAUGUAUCUAAGCUUUUAAAGAAGAAAAGCCAUGUUAAAAUAAAAAAGUCUUCAUGUUACCAUAGGAAAUUCAUCUAGAUGUCAGAGAACAAAGGGAAAAUACUACUUGUGCAGUACUGCCAAUACAGGACGUAUUUUUUUAGCCAUUGUAGGAACAAGCAAAUGAGAGACUUAAUGUCUCUCUUCCUGUGAAUUCAUGCAUAAUUGGGAAAGAAAAAAAAAAGCAAGCAUCCUUCAACAUCCCAGAGAAAAAAUCUCCAGCCCUUGUAGCAAAUAAUUUUAAUUUUCUAGGUUUUAACUGCCUGCUUUCUUAAAGCAAUUAUGUAAGAAGCACAGAAUGGAUAUGGGAACAGUAUGAUGGCAAUAUUAAAGUUUAUCUGAAUAAAAAUUUAGGAUUUUGAUUAUUUGAGCAACUCUUAGAAGCCACGUUUACAAUUUCUGUGACUGUCAAAACAAAUUGUUAUUCUCCCAGUCUGUUAAAAACUGGGCUGUGCUUAAUAUGGAUUUCUGUAUUCAGUGCUAGAGAACAACAUUAAUUAUGCUCCUUGUUACAAGCUUCAGAAAACAAAAAUGGGGCUUCUGAGGGCUCUUUAGGUUAUUCCAUUGUCAAUAACAUGGGCUAGCCAGUUCUCCAGCUAUAACUUUGGUAUUUCAGAGCUUUGCUAGUCACAGCACCAAGCCUAUCAAGGUUCAAGGACCAUUUGCAUGACACUCUCAGUCAUGCAGUUUAGUCUUCGGUAGUCCUGUGAGGACUUGAUGUCCGUACGUGUCCCUUCCAACUUGAGAUAUUCUAUGAUUCUAUCUUGCACAGAGAAAGAACAUUCCAACGAGGAUAGCAAUACAGAGAACUGAAAUACAGAACGUUUGUAAGACCCUUCAAACUUUAUUCUGCCAAUUAAAUUCAGCACAGCAGUCACAUGAGAUCAAUGACAAAUGCUGAACAGCACACCUCAUGAAUGUACACAUCUGCAUGGGACACUGCAGAUGAGCUGUUCAGCUGCUGAAUCUAACUGUUUAAACGAAACCUAUUUUGUGGCCUUCUGAAGCAACUUCUCUCCCCUUUGCUUAACCAGUACUUCCUCAAAAUAAAUUUUAACUGCUUUUGUUGCUUUCUGUUCAGGCAUGUUGCAUGUAGAGGGUGCUAUAUAAAAUCAAGUUACACACAUUAUCACCCAUGUGAUUCCCAUAAGGAAUUUUUCCCCUUUGUGUCAUACCAUCAGGUGAUGUGGCCCUAUGGAAUUAUUCAGACUUUCAUCCAGCAGAGCAGUUUCUGUACUUUAUUUUGAAAGUCUCUCAAUAACUGAUUUAAAACAAGUGAACAAAUUAAAAGUAAAGUGUUCUUUAUUAAAUAACUCAAAGGGUAAAGCAAACUGUGUGAUUAAGAAAGACACAUCAAACUUCCAAAGGAUUUUUACAGCAGAAAACAAACUGUGGCAAAUGAACAUUUCAGUCUAGCAGCCAAACUGUCCUCAUUUUUAUGGAGUUAAUUCCGGUCCUCAAACUGUGACUUGUUUUUUAAAAGAUAUGCUGCUAGAAAUUCAAUGGGAUUUGGUGGUCUGCAAAGAAGAAAAUAAAUAAAAUGUUACUAAUUUUUUUUAGAUUAAAUUAAAUAGCUGAAGAACUAAUUACCUUCCCUUUAAAAGCAACAUAACUCCUCCCAGACACAAACAUUGACAUAGGGAUGACCAGCUCCCUAUAUUUACCCUGUAAACUUCCAGUUUAUAUUUGAGGAGACAGUUUUUAAUAAGGAGUCUUAGUCACUGCUGGUUCAGUGUUUGCGACUUGCUAGAACAGCCACAUACCUAGAACUAGGGUACAGUCUAUAAGUGUACAUGCUGCAUGCACACCAUUGCAAGUUACACACAUUUGCCUAUUUCUGUAACUUGUGUUACAUAAAGUGAGAGUUAAUCUGUCAGUGAUUUCUUGCGUCAUUUUCUUCAAAUGGUUAUUGCAUAGCUUUGUGCCUUAGAGAUGUUUUCUCAGUGCUGUAACUUGCAAGAGGUCAAUAACAAACACUUUUGAUUGCUGGCCUUUGCCUGCAAGUUUUUUUAAGAGUUCUUCCAGCUACAAUGCAUGAAUCCUGAUAAUCUGGAUCCUGUCCACAGAAUAAAUUUACUUAUUCCACACUGAGUCAGGCCAAAGGCCUUGCAGUGAGCAAAUAGCCUGUAAAGAGCAUUAAAAAAGGGGGCGAGGGCACACAUGUAUUUCUGCAUAUCAUCCUUUUGGCCUCCAACCAUGUAGCAAGUGUUAGCACCUAUAAUAGUCCAGGUGGAUUCCUCUACAACUUUGUCCAGUUAGCCCUUGACCCCAAAUAAAAUGUUAAUGUCCUCAACUUAAGGCAAAAAAUUGUAUAGUUUAAUUAUGUGAGCUGUGAAAGAUCACCUCCUUGUUCAUUAUGAAUUUGCUACCUGUUUUAUUUAACUGGAUUGCUGUAUCAGAAGAGAUAAUAAACAAUCCAUUCCAACUCGU